UGAACGUCAUUCUAUGGGUUCCUGUGUCUCCUACGUACCCCUUGUGUUUGGAUUAUUAAGACUGUAGUUUGAUGCUAUCUCCGUGUCUCCUCGCGCCUUGCCUCCCGAGAAGUGUGACAGAAGGACCGACCAAAACAGUAACUUCCGUGUUUUCCCCUCCGUUUGUUUUCCGUUUUUUUCUCAGUGUUUUUCUUUCCGUUGUGUCCCCAUGGAUCCCUUCACUCGCCCCGAAUUCCUCCUCCUCCUGCUGGAGCAGGGAGACCAAGCUCUCGAGGGCCAUACCAAACUGUUCCUGUUGGUCACGAACAUCAUUAGUCAUCCGAAGAUGGUCCUCUAGAGGAAUUUGUCACUCGGCGGGUCGGGCAUCGACCCGCCAUCGCUUCUGGACUCCACUCCUCUGGCUGCGCCUCGUCACUCUGUCCCACCGGCUCCGUUGGGCUCCUUCUUCCCGCCAGCUCCACCUUGGGCCUCAGUCGCUCCGCCGUGGUUCUCCGGAUCUCCGCCACCGCCUUGGUCGCCAGAGUCCUCAGCUCCACCCUGGCCCCCGGGAUCCUCGGCAUCCCCCUGGCUCAUUGGCUCUCCGUCUCCGCCUCGGGCUCCUCCACCACCUGCUCCGCCGCCGUUGGUCUGCCCCCUGGAGUCGGUGGCCAUUCCUCCUCCAUGGCUCCUCCCUCCAUCGGCUCCACCAUGGGCCGCUGUUAUGGCUGUGGCCUGGGUCCUGCUGUGCUCUUCCUGCUCCGGGUCCCUCCUGUCUCCUCCCUGGACUCUGUCUGCCGGCCCCCUACCGGGCAUCCGUCCUCCUCCCUAGUUCCCACCCACUCCCCUCCCCAUGUUGUUUCUACGGUGCGAGGACGCACCUUCCAGGAGGAGGGAGUAAUGUCACGUCCCUGUACUCUGUGUUGUGUUUUCCCUCCCCAGGUGUGCCAUGUUCCCUUUUUAAUUAGUCAUUCCUUGCACCUGUGUUUUCCCAAUCACCCAGUGUUUAAAAGCCCCAGUCCUUUCAGUUAGUGUUUAUCGGUCCUUGAACGUCAUUCUAUGUGUUCCUGUGUCUCCUAUGUACCCC
rnacentral:lncRNA from 1 species